GGAGGGAUCAUUACCGAGUUUACAACUCCCAAACCCAUGUGAACCUUAUACCAGACGUUGCUUCGGCGGUACCGCCCCGGCGCCCUCGGGCCCGGAGCCAGGCGCCCGCCGGGGGACCAACCAAACCCUUUUAAUCCCGGGCCACCAGCCCGGCGGCAUUAUCUGAGUACAGCGAAUUAAAAAACGCAUAAAAACUUUCAACAACGGAUCUCUUGGUUCUGGCAUCGAUGAAGAACGCAGCGAAAUGCGAUAAGUAAUGUGAAUUGCAGAAUUCAGUGAAUCAUCGAAUCUUUGAACGCACAUUGCGCCCGCUAGUAUUCUGGCGGGCAUGCCUGCCCGAGCGUCAUUUCAACCCUCGCACGCCCCUUCGGGGGCGGCGGUGUUGGGGCCCGGCCGACCCAGUCGGCCGCCCCCGAAAUGCAGUGGCGGUCCCGCCGGCGCCUCCCCCGCGUAGUAGCAACACCUCGCGGACGGGAGCGCAGGCGCGGCACCAACGCCGUAAAACCCCCCAACUGAAGGCCCCCGGGCCGAAGAGUUUGACCUCGGAUCAGGUAGGAAUACCCGCUGAACUUAAGCAUAUCAAUAAGCGGAGGAAAAGAAACCAACAGGGAUUGCCCUAGUAACGGCGAGUGAAGCGGCAACAGCUCAAAUUUGAAAUCUGGCCUCACGGUCCGAGUUGUAAUUUGCAGAGGAUGCUUUGGGCGCGGCGCCUUCCGAGUUCCCUGGAACGGGACGCCACAGAGGGUGAGAGCCCCGUCUGGUUGGACGCCUAGCCUAUGUAAAGCUCCUUCGACGAGUCGAGUAGUUUGGGAAUGCUGCUCUAAACGGGAGGUAUAUGUCUUCUAAAGCUAAAUAUUGGCCAGAGACCGAUAGCGCACAAGUAGAGUGAUCGAAAGAUGAAAAGCACUUUGAAAAGAGGGUUAAAUAGUACGUGAAAUUGUUGAAAGGGAAGCGCUCGCGACCAGACUUGGGCCCGGCGGAUCACCCGGCGUUCUUCGCCGGGGCACUCCACCGGCCCAGGCCAGCAUCGGUUCGCCUCGGGGGAUAAAGGCGGUGGGAACGUAGCUCCCUCGGGAGUGUUAUAGCCCGCCGUGUAAUACCCUGCGGUGGACCGAGGACCGCGCAUUUGCAAGGAUGCUGGCGUAAUGGUCGUCAGCGACCCGUCUUGAAACACGGACCAAGGAGUCGUCUUCGUAUGCGAGUGUUCGGGUGGAAAACCCCUACGCGUAAUGAAAGUGAACGCAGGUGAGAGCUUCGGCGCAUCAUCGACCGAUCCUGAUGUUCUCGGAUGGAUUUGAGUAAGAGCAUACGGGGCCGGACCCGAAAGAAGGUGAACUAUGCCUGUAUAGGGUGAAGCCAGAGGAAACUCUGGUGGAGGCUCGCAGCGGUUCUGACGUGCAAAUCGAUCGUCAAAUAUGGGCAUGGGGGCGAAAGACUAAUCGAACCUUCUAGUAGCUGGUUUCCGC
rnacentral:misc_RNA from 1 species